rnacentral:rRNA from 1 species
GAUGAACGCUGGCGGCGUGCUUAACACAUGCAAGUCGAACGAAUGGAGGAGUGCUUGCACUCCAAAGUUAGUGGCGGACGGGUGAGUAACGCGUGGGUAACCUGCCCUAUGCAGGGGGAUAACGUUUGGAAACGAACGCUAAUACCACAUAAACUAUGGACAGUCGCAUGACUGUUAUAGCAAAGAUUUUAUCGGCAUAGGAUGGACCCGCGUUGGAUUAGCUAGUUGGUGAGAUAACAGCCCACCAAGGCGACGAUCCAUAGCCGGCCUGAGAGGGUGAACGGCCACAUUGGGACUGAGACACGGCCCAAACUCCUACGGGAGGCAGCAGUGGGGAAUAUUGCACAAUGGGCGCAAGCCUGAUGCAGCGACGCCGCGUGAAGGAUGAAGGUCUUCGGAUUGUAAACUUCUAUCAGCAGGGAAGAAUAAAUGACGGUACCUGACUAAGAAGCUCCGGCUAACUACGUGCCAGCCGCCGCCGUAA